UGAUAGCCAGGUACGGGAGGAUUGGGCUCAGGUGGUUGAUAGCCAGGUACGGGAGGAUAGGGCCCAGGUGGUUGAUAGCCAGGUACGGGAGGAUAGGGCCCAGGUGCUUGAUAGCCAGAUACAGGGGGAUAGGGCCCAGGUGGUUGAUAGCCAGGUACGGGAGGAUAGGGCCCAGGUGGUUGAUAGCCAGGUACGGGAGGAUUGGGCCCAGGUGGUUGAUAGCCAGGUACGGAAGGAUAG